UACUUCAUGGAUAGUACAGGUACUUCAUGGAUAGAACAGGUACUUCAUGCAUAGUACAGAUACUUCAUGGAUAGAACAGGUACUUCAUGCAUAGUACAGAUACUUCAUGGAUAGUACAGGUACUUCAUGCAUAGUACAGAUACUUCAUGGAUAGUACAGGUACUUCAUGGAUAGUACAGAUACUUCAUGGGUAGUACAGGUACUUCAUGGGUAGAACAGGUACUUCAUGGGUAGAACAGGUACUGUGUAAUAGACUAUUCACAGUCCCUUUGUACGGUCCUUUAUAAUGUUGCUUUCACUCAUUUUGCUUUACCAUAUGCUGUAAUCACCCAAUUCACUGUUACUAUUAUUACUUUGAACAAAGAGUUAUCAAUUAGAUCAAUUGAGAAUAAGAAAUGUAAAGGUUAUAUUUUACAUUAGCUUAUUCGUUUCCCAAUGCUCUUCCUUUCUUUAUGUGCAUCUAAGUUCCUGACCUGUAUAGUUUUUCUUCUUCCUGAGUAACUUCUUUUAACAUUUUUCUAAGACAAGUCUGCUGGCAAUAAGUUCUCUCAGUUUUUGUUUGUCAGAGAAAGUCUUUAUUUCUCCUUCAGUUUUGCAGGAUGAUUUCACAAGAUACAGAAUUCUAAGUUGGUAUUUUUUCCUUUCAAUGCUUUAAAUCUUUCACUCCACUCUCUUCGUGCUGUCUUGGAGUCUGAUGAGAAGGCCAAUGGAAUUCUUAUCCUUGUUUUUCUCCUCUGGCUUCUUUCAUGAUUUUCUCUUUGUCUUUGUUUUUCUGAAGUUUGACUAUGAUAUGUUUAAGUGUAGUUUUUAUGGUGUUUAUCCUGCUUCUUGUUCUCUGAAUUUCCUGCAUCCGUGGUUUGGCAUCUGUCAUUAAUUUUGGAAAAUUCUUGGCCAUAAUUGCUGCAAGUAUUUCUUCUGCUCUCUUCUCCCUUUCUUCUUCUGGUG
rnacentral:lncRNA from 1 species